GACGAAGGGGGCAAGCGUUGUUCGGAAUUACUGGGCGUAAAGGGCGCGUAGGCGGUCCUUUAAGUCAGGCGUGAAAGCCCUGGGCUCAACCUGGGAGUGGCGCUUGAUACUGGAGGACUAGAGAGUGGGAGAGGUUGGUGGAAUUCCCAGUGUAGAGGUGAAAUUCGUAGAUAUUGGGAAGAACACCGGUGGCGAAGGCGGCCAACUGGACCAUUUCUGACGCUGAGGCGCGAAAGCGUGGGGAGCAAACAGG
rnacentral:rRNA from 1 species